ACAGAAGAGCUCAUACCAGAAGAAUGUGAAUCCAGUAGAUAAUGCAGCUUUUACUAAACUGGGGGAGAGCCCUUUAAAAAACGCCCGAGGACCCUCCUCCCGGGCGAUCCGCACCACGCAGUCCGUGAAUCCCUGAAUUGGCUUCUUUGGACUGGACCAACAGGACGUCCUUCAGGAUGUUGUAGAAGAAGAACUGCAGGCCAGCGUAGGGGAAGAUGGCCACCAGAGUCGGUACCAGGCCGCGGUAGAAAGUCAGAACGCCCUCCUUGCGGUACAUGGUGACCGUCGCGUGGCGGAGACUGCGAUACACCUGCGUGGGACACACAGGGCAGAGGAAGCUCAGCUCGGUUCCACAUGGGGCGGGGCCUCCUCACCCGCGGCUCCCCCUGAGCGGCAAAGCGCGUCCGCAGAGUGUCCAGCGGCUGGCAGGCCACGGUGGCGCAGCAGGCUGACAGACCCCCGCACACGAAGUGCACCGCUGGCAUCUGGCUGUGGUAGGAGGUGCUCUUGUGCACCAGCUCCGUCAGGAGCUCGAAACUGGUAAACUGGAGAGGGGAGGGGGUGUUUCUAAAGUUCAUUGUUUCAUUUCAAACACAUUUAGCAACAUAAAUAUACAAGAUCAGUCAAAAGUCUAGACACACCUACCCAUAGAAAGGUACUUUUCUCUACAUUUUAGAAAAAUUAUAAGACAUUAAAACUAUUAACUAUAGAUGGAAUUAUACACUGACCAAAAAAGUAUGAAAAAAAAAAUAAAAAAUUUUGGGGAGGGCAGCUCUGUGGGUUGGGACUCGAAAGGUUGCUGGUUCAAAUCCCUGCGUCGGCAGAGUGAUUGAGGCCUUUAACCCAGAUGCCCCAGGGACUGGCUGCCCCUACUGUCCCCUCUACGCCAGUUUCAUGAGGAGGCCUCCUGAGAUGCUUUUCCAUUGGUCCUGAAGGAGGUCCCACAUAUAAGCUCAGCACCCAUUGGCCUCUGUUCCUUCACUCUCUGGUCAAACUCCUCCUAAACCAUUUCUACUGUGUUUAGGUCAGGUGGCCAGGUCCUGUGAUGCGGCAUGGUCAGGUGGCCAGACUUUUGACUGGUGCUGUACUUAAUAAAUGGUAUAACAUAAACAAUAAGUUUCUUUCCUGCUUUCUUUGUACCAUUCAUUAUAUAAUUCCAUUAGACGUCUUGCUAUUCGAUCCUUUCCCAGUUCAUCACUUAGGCCCUCGCAAAGCCUUUGGCAUGUGGAGGAACUCAAACUGGUCAUGUGGCCCAGAUUCACACUGUUAGGACAUCACCUGGACCCCUUAGCCCAGCCAUGGUGGUGGUUUGCACGAUAAACGGCGAUCGAACGUGCCUGGACAGCCCCGUAGCAGAUCGACAGCAGCUGGGCAGGGACAUGACCCUUCCAAAAGGCAGUGGCGCCCUCUUCUGACAGGAUGCGGCGUGACGCCUGCCGCAGGCCCCAGUACUUUCCCUGCUUGCUCUGGGAUGAGAGCUUCUCGAUCUGAAGCUGGGGAAACGGGAGGAGGAAUGUGCAUCACCACAACCGCACCCGACAGAGGCCCCCCCACCCCAAAAGCAUCCUGCACAGGGUUCUCCAUUAUGCUCAUGACAGUAAGACGACAGACAGCUAGGGCUGCAAAAUUUUGGGAAACACAAUUGCAGUUUAGCCUAACAGGGAACUUAAAUGUAGUUGAAAAGGAAAAAAAACAUCUCGAUGGCACUAAUAGUGAUAUGAUUGUGUAUCCAAGUGCUUGUGAAUAAUUAUGUGCAUAAAGCACCCAAAAUUAGCAUCGGCAUUAAAAUGCACUGCUCAUAUGUUAUAUUCUAUGUCGUAUUAUUCAUACAGUUUGCUUUCUUUGCCAUAUCUGGCAGCUUAUGCGGAGCCCAAAAUUCCCCAGCAUAACUUCCCAUGGAAAGUUUCUGGAAAUUUUACUUCCCUUUGCAACCCUACAGGCAUAUCUGUCUGUACAGCCAAUUGUUCAACAAAUAGACACAUGUGUCUCACCCCACUGCACCCAACACACCUGGAACCUAAUUUUGAUGACAUCCAGGGGGCUGAUCAUGGCUCGGGUCACCAUGCCGGACAGCGACCCCGCUAAGGCGGCCUUCUCUGGUGGCAGGACCUUGCGCUGAUCAUCCGGGUCAUAGCCCACCAUCGCUGCGUCGCCGCCCUAGUGGCGGCAGUUGUGUCUGUGUGACAGGAAACAGAAUCUCACGUCUCAUUCCACCAAUAUUGUACCCACAAAACCUCCAGCAUUGUGGAGGGCCCUUUUUCUUCUGCUCCCAUCUGGGUGCAUCACAGGAACAUCCAAACCAGUUCUGCCAAAUUCAGCAACAGUCCCCCCCCCACCCCAACCCGGAGGCUGUCAGGACACUUAACACUCAGCUACCUCCCUGACCACCUACCCAUCUCAUUGUCACUUGCUGUUUAUUCGUUGCACCGUAGUCCUGAGGGAACAUUUAUUUCAUUCACACUGAAUACGUGUAUAUAGAGGGUAUGAAAUUAAAGUCCACUCGAUUAGACUUCAAACCCUCUAACUAUUAAGUACACGGAUUUUCCUUUACCCCGCCGUUUAAUUGCUGUGAUUCAUCUGUGAUUAAUGUGCAGAUCCUCUGUUAAUUAAAACUUCGUCUGUAAAGUCUGCAGGUCGGCGACUUAUUUAUGCUCUGGCCAGCAGUGAUCCGGCUGCUUAUAUUUAAAGAUUCCUUUGCUACAGUUCUUUCCAUUGCAUCUGGCCAAUGCAGCUGUCAGGACAUCACUGUCUCGUCCAGCUAAAUACUAUGUGCAAAUACUAUACGAGUGUCUGUAAAUGAGUCUAUUACAAAUAAUGUAUUGUUCUGCAACUGCAAGUAAAAUGUUAAGAAACCUUCAA